rnacentral:other from 1 species
GGAUACCUGGUGUAUGCGCCAGACACACAGUCCUCGAGCCGAUAAAUGUAAACCUGGAGGUUGCUGAUCAUUGUUGGUGUGCAUGUCCGGCCUUGGUCGGGAAGCCUAAUACAGUGCGGGAACCACCGCCUUGAACCGUUGGGUUCAAGGGCUGCGCUGUCAGCGGUAUACCGGGAUCCA